UACAGAGGAUGCAAGCGUUAUCCGGAAUCACUGGGCAUAAAGCGUCUGUAGGUUGCAUAUCAAGUCUGCUGUUAAAGACUAGGGCCUAACCCUGGGAAAGCAGUGGAAACUAGUAUGCUUGAGUAUGGUAGAGGUAGAGGGAAUUCCUGGUGUAGCGGUGAAAUGCGUAGAUAUUAGGAAGAACACCAACGGCGAAAGCACUCUACUGGGCCACAACUGACACUGAGAGACGACAGCUAGGGGAGCAAAUGGG
rnacentral:rRNA from 1 species